UACGUAGGGCGCAAGCGUUGUCCGGAAUUAUUGGGCGUAAAGAGCUCGUAGGCGGCUUGUCACGUCGGGUGUGAAAGCCCGGGGCUUAACCCCGGGUCUGCAUUCGAUACGGGCUAGCUAGAGUGUGGUAGGGGAGAUCGGAAUUCCUGGUGUAGCGGUGAAAUGCGCAGAUAUCAGGAGGAACACCGGUGGCGAAGGCGGCUCUCUAGUACGGUACUGACGCUGAGACGCGAAAGCGUGGGGAGCGAACAGG
rnacentral:rRNA from 1 species